CCUACGGGAGGCAGCAGUGAGGAAUAUUGGUCAAUGGACGAGAGUCUGAACCAGCAAAGUAGCGUGAAGGAUGACUGCCCUAUGGGUUGUAAACUUCUUUUAUAUGGGAAUAAAAUGUUCCACGUGUGGGAUUUUGUAUGUACCAUAUGAAUAAGGAUCGGCUAACUCCGUGCCAGCAGCCGCGGUAAUACGGAGGAUCCGAGCGUUAUCCGGAUUUAUUGGGUUUAAAGGGAGCGUAGGUGGAUUGUUAAGUCAGUUGUGAAAGUUUGCGGCUCAACCGUAAAAUUGCAGUUGAAACUGGCAGUCUUGAGUACAGUAGAGGUGGGCGGAAUUCGUGGUGUAGCGGUGAAAUGCUUAGAUAUCACGAAGAACUCCGAUUGCGAAGGCAGUUCACUGGACUGCAACUGACACUGAGGCUCGAAAGUGUGGGUAUCAAACAGGAUUAGAUACCCCUGUAGUC
rnacentral:rRNA from 1 species